GAUGAACGCUGGCGGCGUGCCUAAUACAUGCAAGUCGAGCGAACAGACGAGGAGCUUGCUCCUCUGACGUUAGCGGCGGACGGGUGAGUAACACGUGGAUAACCUACCUAUAAGACUGGGAUAACUUCGGGAAACCGGAGCUGAUACCGGAUAAUAUAUUGAACCGCAUGGUUCAAUAGUGAAAGACGGUUUUGCUGUCACUUAUAGAUGGAUCCGCGCCGCAUUAGCUAGUUGGUAAGGUAACGGCUUACCAAGGCAACGAUGCGUAGCCGACCUGAGAGGGUGAUCGGCCACACUGGAACUGAGACACGGUCCAGACUCCUACGGGAGGCAGCAGUAGGGAAUCUUCCGCAAUGGGCGAAAGCUUGACGGAGCAACGCCGCGUGAGUGAUGAAGGUCUUCGGAUCAUAAAACUCUGUUAUUAGGGAAGAACAAAUGUGUAAGUAACUAUGCACGUCUUGACGGUACCUAAUCAGAAAGCCACGGCUAACUACGUG
rnacentral:rRNA from 1 species